UAACUGAAAACCUGGCAUCACUACUCUUAACAUGUGGAGUGACUGCGCGGGAGCAUGCGUGAUUAUGUAAACUUGAGCGUGGCCAUCUUACAUUUCUAAAACUGUGACUCACGUGAAUUUAGUGUAAAAUUUAUUUGCAAUAAUUGUAAAUAUUUUAAAAUUUCCUCAUCAUGGAUGCUAAUAAACUCACCGAAAUAUUACGUGCUACGAUUGAUCCUAAUCAAAGAGAAGCCGCUGAGAAACAGCUAGAGCAGGUACACAAAAUCAUUGGAUUUGCACCUUCUCUGCUACAAGUGGUCAUGAUGAAUUCAGUAGAGAUGCCGGUUAGACAAGCUGGAGUCAUCUAUUUAAAAAACAUGGUUGCUCAGUUUUGGCAGGAUAAGGAAGGAGAGCCUCUGCUUUUUACUAUUCAUGAGCAAGACAGAGCUAUGAUAAGAGAUUCAAUUGUAGAUGCCCUUGUUUAUGCAGCUGAUUUAAUUAGGGUUCAGUUGGCUGUGUGUGUUAGCAACAUUGUGAAACAUGAUUUCCCUGGAAAAUGGACUGGAAUUGUAGAUAAGAUCUCAGUCUAUUUACAAAUGAAUGAUAGUAAUGUCUGUAUGGGAGCAUUGCUGUGUUUAUAUCAACUAGUCAAGAAUUUUGAAUAUAAGGGUGCAGAGGAACGUACUCCUUUGAAUGAAGCUAUGAAUCUACUUCUUCCCAUGAUAUACCAGCGAUGCGUCCAGUUAUUAUCCGAUCACUCUGACAUAUCAGUCUUAUUGCAAAAGCAAAUUUUAAAAAUAUUUUUUGCUCUAGUUCAGUACUUUUUACCUCUUACAUUGAUUACCCGUGAAAUCUUUUCUCAAUGGAUGGAAAUUUUUCGCACUGUUGUUGGAAGGCCAGUUCCUGAAGUGAAGGAUACUACUUUAGAUGAAGAGGAAAUAGCAGACUUACCUUGGUGGAAAUGCAAAAAAUGGGCAUUGCAUAUACUAACUAGAGUUUUUGAAAGGUACGGUAGUCCAGAAAAUGUCUCAAAGGAAUAUCAAGAAUUUGCUGUAUAUUAUUUGAAAACUUAUACUGGAGGUAUUCUGGAAGUGUUGCUGAAAGUUCUUGACCAGUUUCGACAAAAGGUCUUUGUUUCGCCACGUGUCCUGCAAUUAACCCUAAAUUAUAUCAAUGAAGCGGUUUCACAUUCAUAUUCAUGGAAAUUACUCAAGCCCCACAUGCUGACUAUAGUGCAAGAUGUUGUUUUCCCCUUAAUGUGCAGCAAUGAAAAAGACGAAGAACUAUGGUCUACUGAUCCCCACGAAUAUAUUAGACAAAAGUUUGAUGUAUUUGAAGAUUUUAUUUCUCCUGUGACCGCUGCACAGACUCUCUUGCACUCAAUUGCCAAGAAGAGAAAGGAUAUGCUUCAAAAAUCUAUGGAGUUCGUUAUGACAGUUUUGACUAAUCCUGGUUCCACAGCUCAACAAAAAGAUGGUGGUCUUCAUAUGGUUGGCACUGUAGCAGAUGUUUUGCUAAAACGAAAGAUAUACAAAGAACAAAUGGAGAACAUCUUAGUUGCUUAUGUUUAUCCCUGUUUCCAAAGUGAACAUGGAUUCAUGAGAGCAAGGGCAUGUUGGGUAAUGCAUUAUUUUUGCUCCAUGAAGUUUAAACAUGAAGCCAAUUUGGUGACUGCUCUCUCUUUGACGCAGAAUGCAUUGUUAAAUGACAAAGAACUCCCUGUUAAAGUUGAAGCAGCUGUAGCUCUACAAAUGCUUAUAACCAAUCAAGACAAAGCUGAAAAACAUCUUGAACCACACAUAAAACCUAUUGCUCUUGAGUUGUUGAAAAUACUUAGAGAAACAGAGAAUGAUGAUUUGACGAAUGUGAUGCAAAAAAUUGUUUGUACCUAUACCCAGCAAUUAGUUCCUAUUGCUGUUGAAAUGACUCAGCAUUUAGCAAUGACGUUUACUCAGGUGAUAAAUAGUAAUGGUGAGGAGAGCUCUGAUGAGAAGACAAUCACUGCCAUGGGCAUUCUUAACACCAUGGACACUAUUCUUUCUGUUAUGGAGGAUCAUAGAGAUAUAAUGGUGCAUUUAGAACCGAUUGUCCUCAAUGUUAUAGGGCUUAUUCUCACACAAAGUAUUAUAGAGUUUUAUGAGGAGUCCAUGUCAUUGAUAUAUAGUCUAUCUUCAAAUUCUAUAUCGCCAGAUAUGUGGAAAGUAUUUGAACUGAUGUACCAAACAUUUUUAAAAGAUGGAUUUGACUUUUUCACUGAUAUGAUGCCAGCUCUCCAUAACUUUGUGAGAGUUGAUAGUCAAGCUUUUGUUAGUAAUGAAAACCACCUAUUAGCUGUUUACAAUAUGUGCAAGGCAAUAUUGAAUGGUGAAUCAGGUGAAGAUGCAGAAUGUCAUGCGGCCAAGUUAUUAGAAGUUGUCAUAUUACAUUGCAAAGGAAUGAUUGACCCUUGCAUUCCUUCUUUUGUUGAAUUAGUUCUAGGUAGAUUAACAAGAGAAGUUAAAACAUCAGAAUUAAGAACUAUUUUGUUACAGGUGGUGAUAGCAGCAUUUUAUUAUAAUCCUAAUCUUCUUCUGGAUACCUUAGAAAAAAUGAAUGUACCCAAUGCCACGGAACAUUUUGUACAGCAGUGGAUAAAAGAUGUAGAUUGCUUUCUUGGGUUGCAUGACAGAAAAAUCUGUGUGUUAGGAUUGUGUACAUUAGUAUCUACCCCUAUUUGUAAAACCAAAAUUAGCAAUGAUUGUUUGCCAAAGAUAAUUCCAUCUGUAUUGCUAUUGUUUGAUGGUCUCAAGAGAGCUUAUGCGUACAAAGCUCAAGAGGAAGAAGAUUCUGAUGAAGAGGAGGAAGAAGAUUUUGAACCUGAUGUUUUGGCAAGUGAUGAAGAUGAAAUCAAUGAGGAUGGUGAUUAUUUAGAGUCUCUGUCUAAAACCAUAAAGAAGAAAUCUCCUUUCCCUGUCACCUCAUCUGUGAUUGCUGAUGAUGAUGAAACUUCAGAUGACGAAGAAGCUUAUGAAGAAGCAGAAGAAACAGCAUUAGAAAGUUAUGUCACACCUUUAGACGAUGAAGACUGUGCUAUAGAUGAAUAUGUUAUAUUUAAAGAAAUUAUGCAAAGUCUUAAAACAAGUGAUCCUAAUUGGUACAAUGUUCUCACAUCUCACCUGACACCUGAGCAACAGAGAGCCUGCGAAGAAAUAUUUGUCCUAGCUGAUCAAAGAAAAGCAGCUGCAGAAUCUAAACGAAUAGAAAAAAGUGGUGGUUAUGUGUUUCAAAAUCAAACUGUUCCAACUUCAUUCAAUUUCGGUGGAACCCCUCUCUCAUAGAAACUGGAAAAGAACUAUUUAAUAAAAAGAAAAGCCUCUCCUCACGUACGCUACAGAUGCUCUUUGUUAUGAAUCAAGCUAUUAUGACUUUUCUUUCUCUAUAAAUCCCUGUUGUAAAUUAUUAGGUUUUUUUUUCCUCUUAUUUAUUAUUCAUAAUUUUAGAAUGUCGGAUGGAGGGACAGCACUUCUAUGCUUGAAGAUUAAUAAUUGUGAGUGAAGUUGUGGUUAUUUUUCAUAUGCUUAUCAAUUAUAUUUCGAAUAAAUAUAUAAUUGAUUUAAAAAUGCAUGUUUAUCCAUGAUAGUUCCUUUGUAAUAGUACAUGGAUUGCCAACUACACAAUUUUUUAUAGUUUUUACUAUG
rnacentral:misc_RNA from 1 species